AAUGCAAGGGAAGUUGGGGAACUUUCAACGUGUGGAUCACGGCGGCUUAGUUGGCCUCGCCACUAAACCAAAAACUUUGAAUUCUCCGUCGUUCUUGGAGACGAACGUGUUUCUUGAUCCAACCCACACAUACCCGCCUUCUUUUUCAAAACUAUACUCAUAAAUGCCACCCUCAAAUCCACAUUUCUUUCAGCAUUUCACGCCUCGAAAGCAGCUCUCUACCUUUCUAGGGCCCUCCAAUGGCUAUUGUUUCUCCAUCUUCUUCCGUUUCAAAUAAACCCUUGUCCUCCCUACCAUUGAUUCAAGCCAACAAUUCUAAAUCUUUAUCAUUAAGGGAACAGACGUUCUUUGGUUCUAAAGGGAAAUUAGGUGCAUUUGAACAGACCCACUUGAAAUUAUGCACUGAUUCAAACAUUUCAGGUCUGAAAUUGAAGGCUUCAAGGGAGCCUCCAGGGCUGACCAGGGAACCUCCAGGGCUGACCAGGGAACUUAAAAGUGACAAGCUGGAGAAUCCUGCAGUAACUAAAAGUGAUAGUGACUUAUUUGAUGAGAUGAAACAACGGUUUUUGAGUUUCAAAAAGCAUAAAUACAUGAAAAACCUGGAGCACUUUGAAAAUCUUGCCAAGGGUCAAGCACCCAAGUUUAUGGUGAUUGCUUGUGCAGACUCCAGGGUUUGCCCCUCAAACAUCCUGGGAUUCCAACCGGGAGAAGCAUUUGUGGUACGCAAUGUUGCAAAUAUGGUCCCCUCAUAUGAGAGUGGGCCAUCGGAAACAAAUGCUGCACUAGAAUUUGCUGUGAAUUCUCUUAAGGUUGAAAACAUUUUAGUUGUUGGUCACAGUUGCUGUGGAGGCAUUCGUGCGCUAAUGAGCAUGCAUGAUGAUGUUGAAACAAGUAGCUUCAUUGGAAGUUGGGUGGUAGUUGGGAUGAAUGCAAGGUUAAGAACAAAGGCUGCUGCCUCCAAUCUUAAUUUUGACUGGCAGUGCAGGCACUGUGAGAAGGAAUCAGUCAACUGUUCAUUGGGAAAUCUCCUUACUUACCCAUGGAUAGAAGAAAAAGUGAGGAAUGGUGAAGUUUCUAUUCAUGGUGGCUACUAUGACUUUGUUGACUGUACAUUUGAGAAAUGGACUGUGGAUUACAAUGCAAGCAAUUCGAAGGAGAAAAGUGGCAAAGUUGCAAUGAAAAACAAAACAUUAUGGUAGGCCUUGGGAUUUCCCUUGAUAUUGGGCUUCAGCCAUGCUGAGUGAUCCACCGUGUGAAAAGGGAGAACAGUGAGCAGGCAAGAAGAAAAGAAGAAUAUGCUGAAUUUUGAGGGUGGAGUGGCCCAAGUUUUGCAAAAUUGGUGAGAAUAAGCAAAUCUUAGACAAUGUACCAAAAGAAAAUAAUUAUUGAGAAUCUUAUCUUUGAAGAUGGAAUGAGAGAGAGUUUCUGGAGAGAAGAUGUACAUAUUAAAUAGGUAAUUUAACAAUCCAUCCAAUGGUUGAUAUUCCCAUUGGUAUUUUGGCUAGAGAUAUUCUCCAUUUCUUAGGACCAAUUGACACGCAUGUCUGAUGAUUCAUCUAGCUACAGCAGAUAGGAAAUUAAAAGAAUCCCAAAUUUUCUCUAGGAAGCAUCUUGAGAAUAGAGAAGUUUGGAAAGAAAUUGGGAGAAGACAUGGGAUUCUGAAUGAUUGUCUAUUAGCACCACAGGUGAGAAGUUGAACUGCCGUAUAUAAUCUUUCCUUUCAACUCUCCCUUGAAGUCUCCUUACUUUCAACCUCCCACAUCUAUAAAAGCCCCUUGCACAUGAGAACCAAUGCAGAAAACAAGCUUGACAACCUUCAAUUGCUAGAACUCUGAUUUUCUCCGAAAUUGUUGCUAGUUGCACCAGAUAUGGCCUAUCGUCAAUUCUCAGCUGUGAUAUUACCACUUUUGUUGAUUAGUGUUUCAUGCCUGAACAGCCAGACAAGUCUGGUAGAUGCUCAACAGCUUAUGGAAAUAACUUUACUGGAGAUACCUGAAUUGCCAGAGCUGCCUUCUUUUCCUCAGGUUGAAUUGCCACCAUUACCAGAAUUGCCAGAUCUCCCAGAGCUUGAAGUGCCACAACUGCCUGAUUUGCCUGAUAUCCCUGAUUUGCCUGACCUCCCUACGCUCACGUUACCUGCCAAAUCAACUAUUCCCAAGGACAUCAACCCCUUUCAUUCAACUAAUAGUCCUUAAACGAUUAUACCUUCUCAUAUUUCUGCAGUGGUUUCAUGAUGAACUUCAUCCAAUGCUUGAUGUUUUUGUGAUGUGCUGUCUGGUGUCGGAGUUCUGCACCAUGUUUCUUGAGCUGAUGAUUUAUGUAAUUUUUAUUGUCUUUACUUGUUGCAAUCUAUAUGUGUUUCCGUUGGAGAGAUACUUGUGUUUUCUACAAUUUUUCAGUUACGUGUGAUAUAUUCAUACUCUCUUGGUUCUUGAUUUUAUGA